rnacentral:rRNA from 1 species
GACGAACGCUGGCGGCGUGCUUAACACAUGCAAGUCGAGCGGAGCGGCGAACGGGUGAGUAACACGUGAGUAACUGCCACCCUCUCUGUGAUAACAGUUGGAAAAGGGUGCUAAUAACGGAUAGUGGUGGAUGACUCGCGUCCUAUCAGCUUGUUGGUGGGGUAGUGGCCUACCAAGGCGACGACGGGUAGCCGGCCGUCGAGGGCGACCGGCAAAAUUGGGCUGAGAUACGGCCCAAACUCCGACGUGAUGCAGCAGGGGGGAAUAUUGCACAAGGGGGGAAACCCUGAUGCAGCAACGCGCGUGCGGGAUGACGGACUUCGGGUUGUAAACCGCUGUCAGCAAUUACGCGGUAGUGGCAGAAGAAGCACCGGCUAACUACGUGCCAGCAGCCGCGGUAAUAC